rnacentral:rRNA from 1 species
UACGAGUGGCCCGAGGCAUCAUCGGAAUCACUGGGCUUAACAAGUGCGCAGGCGGCCCGGCAGGCCUCUCGUGAUAUCCCCCGGCUCAACCGGGGAACUGCGGGGUGAACCGCCGGGCUUGAGGCAGGUAGGGGCUGACGGAACAAUGAGUGGAGCGGUGAAAUGCGUAGAUAUUCAUGGGAACGCCGAUGGGGAAGCCGGUCAGCUGGGCCUGUCCUGACGCUCAGGCACGAAAUCGUGGGGAGCAAACAGG